rnacentral:lncRNA from 1 species
UAUCCCAAAGGAAUCCGAUGAAGCUGUCGUUGUGGUACAAGAAUUUUCGGGUGUGAAGCCAGAAUUAUUAGGCUGAAGGAACUGAAGAGAGUUAUUAGGUACAACUGUCCCUGGCAUCAUCUUGACUUGAUCCGUACUUGAACCAAUAUUAUUCGUGCUGUAGGUGUUGGCGGAGACAGAGGCGGUGGAGCUUCGUGCAGAGGUGACCGAGGCGGUGGAGCUUCGUGCAGAGGUGACCGAGGCAGCCUCAAUUCUUUCAACUAACCUUGGCAUCCAAAGAUAAUGCACAGCAUCCUUGAAUUGCUUGCUGUUCACGUCACACUUGAGCUGUUUCGCAUGCUUCUGGACCCGUGUU